CCUACGUGUGACAGCAGUGGGGAAUAUUGGACAAUGGGGGGAACCCUGAUCCAGCGACGCCGCGUGAGUGAAGACGUAUUUCGGUAUGUAAAGCUCUAUCAUCAGGGAAGCAAGGAAUGACGGUACCUGACUACGCAGCCCCGGCUAACUACGUGCCAGCCGCCGCGGUAAUACGUAGGGGGCACGCGUUAUCCGGCUUUACGGGGUGUAAAGGGAGCGUAGACGGUUCUGCAAGUCUGGAGUGAAAGGCGGGGGCCCAACCCCCGAACUGCAUUGGAAACUGUAUAACUGGAGUGCAGGAGAGGGAAGUGGAAUUCCUAGGGUAGCAGUGAAAUGCGUAGAUAUGAGGAGGAACACCAGUGGCGAAGGCGGCUUACUGGACUGUAACUGACGUUGAGGCUCGAAAGCGUGGGGAGCAAACAGGAUUAGAUACCCCUGUAGUC
rnacentral:rRNA from 1 species